rnacentral:lncRNA from 1 species
CCUUUUCUUUCAAUAGCUUUAGGCCAGAUUUCCUUCUUCCGAGUAAUUGAUUCUAACACGUAAUCGUAAAACAGAAGAUAAUAAAUUAUCGAGACCUGAUUUUUCUGUUCAGGCUGGUCUCUUUUAAUUACCGUGUGCAGUCUGAAAAUACGGGACUAUCGGGGCAGGGGGGUCGUUUGAAGAAAUCUCCAAACAGGCUGUGCAUGGAGUAGGGCUUCACAUUUCCCUUACACCUCGGAAAAUUUCCCCUUCCCUUUCGGUCUGAAAGCAGCAAGCAGCCCUAAACACCUCUCUCAAUCUAGACACUUGGCUACCCUAACACAGCUGGGUAGUCUCAGGAACCCACUGGUCAAAAUCAAUGCCUUGCAAUCAAAAUUUUCCUUCCAGUCUGCAGAAUGGAGGUAGCAGUUGAAGCAUUUCUGCAGUCCUGGCAAGGAAGCACUGGCUUUCUUAGGUCUCGGUUCUCGAUCCCUCACCCGCAGGCAGUAUGGGCAACGCCAUGCUCCAGGCGUAUUUGUGGACACCAUGGAAGAAAGGGUAUGAGCGAUGGAGACAACAGCUUAGAAGCUCCAACGACGCAACGCGCCUACACCCGGUGUCUGUGGAAGCCAGCCACCAGUCACCUUGCAGGCAGACGCCAGUAGCGUCUUGCAGCAAUCUUCAGACGGCGACAGGAAGUUAGAUGAAGCCAAGGGAGCUAUUUCCAUGUGGGCACCGAAAUGCAAGAACUGACAAGGUGCUU